rnacentral:rRNA from 1 species
GGGCCCGCACAAGCAGCGAGCGUGUGGUUUAAUUCGAUGAUACACGAAGAACCUUACCAGGGUUUGACAUGCUAGUGGUAGGGAUCCGAAAGGUGACCGACCCUCGGGGAGCUAGCACAGGUGCUGCAUGGCUGUCGUCAGCUCGUGUCGUGAGAUGUUCGGUUAAGUCCGCUAACGAGCGCAACCCUUGCUGUGUGUUACAUGUGUCACACGGGACUGCCGGUCUUAAACCGGAGGAAGGUGGGGAUGACGUCAAGUCAGCAUGGCCUUUAUGUCCUGGGCUACACACACGCUACAAUGGCCGGUACAAUAGGUUGCGAAGCCGCGAGGCGGAGCCAAUCCUCAAAGCCGGCCUCAGUUCAGAUUGCAGGCUGCAACCCGCCUGCAUGAAGAUGGAGUUGCUAGUAACCGCAGGUCAGCUAUACUGCGGUGAAUACGUUCCCGGGGCUU